rnacentral:rRNA from 1 species
GAUGAACGCUGGCGGCGUGCUUAACACAUGCAAGUCGAACGGUGAAGGCGGAGCUUGCUCUGCUGGAUCAGUGGCGAACGGGUGAGUAACACGUGAGCAAUCUGCCCCUGACUCUGGGAUAAGCGCUGGAAACGGCGUCUAAUACUGGAUACGAGCUGCGAAGGCAUCUUCAGCAGCUGGAAAGAACUUCGGUCAGGGAUGAGCUCGCGGCCUAUCAGCUUGUUGGUGGGGUAACGGCUCACCAAGGCGUCGACGGGUAGCCGGCCUGAGAGGGUGACCGGCCACACUGGGACUGAGACACGGCCCAGACUCCUACGGGAGGCAGCAGUGGGGAAUAUUGCACAAUGGGCGGAAGCCUGAUGCAGCAACGCCGCGUGAGGGACGACGGCCUUCGGGUUGUAAACCUCUUUUAGCAGGGAAGAAGCGAAAGUGACGGUACCUGCAGAAAAAGCGCCGGCUAACUACGUG